UACGUAGGGGGCAAGCGUUGUCCGGAAUCAUUGGGCGUAAAGCGCGUGUAGGCGGCCCGGUAAGUCCGCUGUGAAAGUCGGGGGCUCAACCCUCGGAUGCCGGUGGAUACUGUCGGGCUAGAGUGCGGGAGAGGCGAGUGGAAUUCCUGGUGUAGCGGUGAAAUGCGCAGAUAUCAGGAGGAACACCAAUGGCGAAGGCAGCUCGCUGGGACGUGACUGACGCUGAGACGCGAAAGCGUGGGGAGCAAACAGG
rnacentral:rRNA from 1 species